AACGAACGUUGGCGGCGUGGAUUAGGCAUGCAAGUCGAACGCGAACGUCGGGCUUCGGCCUGACUAGUAGAGUGGCGAACGGGUGAGUAACGCGUGGGCAAUCUACCCUCGAGUGGGGAAUAACCAUUCCAACGAGUGGCUAAUUCCGCAUGUGCCCUCUCUGUCGCAUGGCGGAGCGGGCAAAGGUGGGGAUCUUCGGACCUGCCGCUCGAGGAGGAGCCCGCGUCCCAUUAGCUAGUUGGCGGGGUAACGGCCCACCAAGGCGACGAUGGGUAGCCGAUCUGAGAGGAUGACCGGCCACACUGGGACUGAGAUACGGCCCAGACUCCUACGGGAGGCAGCAGUGGGAAUCUUGGACAAUGGGCGCAAGCCUGAUCCAGCCAUGCCGCGUGAGUGAAGAAGGCCUUAGGGUUGUAAGCUCUUUUACCAGGACGAUAAUGACGGUCCUGGAGAAUAAGCCCCGGCAAACUUCGUGCCAGCAGCCGCCGUAAU
rnacentral:rRNA from 1 species